rnacentral:rRNA from 1 species
AUUGAACGCUGGCGGCAGGCCUAACACAUGCAAGUCGAGCGGAUGAAGGGAGCUUGCUCCUGGAUUCAGCGGCGGACGGGUGAGUAAUGCCUAGGAAUCUGCCUGGUAGUGGGGGAUAACGUCCGGAAACGGGCGCUAAUACCGCAUACGUCCUGAGGGAGAAAGUGGGGGAUCUUCGGACCUCACGCUAUCUGAUGAGCCUAGGUCGGAUUAGCUAGUUGGUGGGGUAAAGGCCUACCAAGGCGACGAUCCGUAACUGGUCUGAGAGGAUGAUCAGUCACACUGGACCUGAGACACGGUCCAGACUCCUACGGGAGGCAGCAGUGGGGAAUAUUGGACAAUGGGCGAAAGCCUGAUCCAGCCCUGCCGCGGGUGUGAAGAAGGUCUUCGGAUUGUAAAGCACUUUAAGUUGGGAGGAAGGGUAGUAAGUUAAUACCUUGCUGUUUUGACGUUACCAACAGAAUAAGCACCGGCAAACUUCGU